AACGAACGUUAGCGGCGCGCCUAACACAUGCAAGUCGAGCGAGAAGGAAGCAAUUCCUGUAAAGCGGCGCACGGGUGAGUAACACGUAGGUAAUCUACCUCGAAGUGGUGGAUAACCUUCCGAAAGGAGGGCUAAUACAGCAUGAGACCACGGUUUCGAAAGAGAUUGAGGUCAAAGCGGGCCACUAUACAUAAGCUCGCGCUUCGAGAUGAGCCUGCGGCCCAUCAUGGUAGUUGGUAGGGUAAUGGCCUACCAAGCCGAAGACGGGUAGCUGGUCUGAGAGGAUGAUCAGCCACACUGGAACUGAGACACGGUCCAGACUCCUACGGGAGGCAGCAGUGGGGAAUCUUGCGCAAUGGGCGAAAGCCUGACGCAGCGACGCCGCGUGAGUGAUGAAGGCCUUCGGUUGUAAGACUCUGUGGAGGGGGACGGAAGUAAGGGUUAGGGCGUAAC
rnacentral:rRNA from 1 species